GUGAGGAAUAUUGGUCAAUGGGCGCGAGCCUGAACCAGCCAAGUAGCGUGGGGGAUGACUGCCCUAUGGGUUGUAAACCCCUUUUGCGCGGGGAUAAACCGGCGGACGCGUCCGCCGCUGCAGGUACCGCGCGAAUAAGGACCGGCUAAUUCCGUGCCAGCAGCCGCGGUAAUACGGAAGGUCCGGGCGUUAUCCGGAUUUAUUGGGUUUAAAGGGAGCGUAGGCGGGAGGCUAAGCGUGCUGUGAAAUCCGGCGGCUCAACCGUCGCGAGCAGCGCGAACUGGCUUUCUUGAGUGCGCGGGAGGCAGGCGGAAUUCGUGGUGUAGCGGUGAAAUGCUUAGAUAUCACGAAGAACCCCGAUUGCGAAGGCAGCCUGCCGUAGCGUUACUGACGCUGAAGCUCGAAGGUGCGGGUAUCGAACAGGAUUAGAAACCCUAGUAGUCC
rnacentral:rRNA from 1 species